AUACUUACCUGGCAGGGGAGCAUACCAUGAUCACGAAGGUGGUUUUCCCAGGGCAAGGCUUAUCCAUUGCACUUUGAAUGUGCUGACCCCUGCGAUUUCCCCAAAUGUGGGAAACUCGACUGCAUAAUUUGUGGUAGUGGGGGACUCCGUUCACGCUUUCCCCUG
ensembl:snRNA U1 U1 spliceosomal RNA